AUCAUCUGCGACCUGUGCACUCCUACAGUGGCCACCUCAAGCACGCCCUUAACCAGAAGAGCCAGAGGGUGCUUGGUCAUCAUCUGCUUAAGGAUUUCACUAAACCUGCUGCGUACACAGGUGAACAGUCACAACUGAGGCCAGAGGUGUAGAUCUGACUUCAUAUCGAUCAACCAAAAUGACUUGAGCUCUCCUUCUUCCCUGCAGGGGAACUCAUUGGGGUGGAGUACCUGUUCCAGCAGACAGGUAGCGUGCUUGAGGGUGUCAGCGGGGACCCUGACGCUCCAGAUGAGGCUGCUGCUGUCAUCGCUCUUCAGGAUAAGGGUAUAGAGGAGAAUGAAGACCCCACCAUCUCCGGGCCGGUCCUCCUCUCCUCUGACGCAGCAGCCCGGUCAGGUGACCCAGCUGACACAGACAGGUCUGAGCCAUCCGGUCUGUCCCCCACCCCCCCCGAAUAGGAUGUCCGUCCCGGUACCUCUCAGACUCCCGAUCAGCAUCUCUCCUCAGACUCUGAGGAAGAGUUCCAGGGUCUUGAUGGUCAGCCAGGAUAUCAACACUUCCUGAGGCUGGCCAAGGCCCUGGUGGAGAUCAGGAGUCUGCCUGCAAUCUCCAACAGCAGGGUAGACCGAAUUGUUGCGCUCUGGGAACGCCUCCCAGAGUCUGACAAGCAGCGGGUCGUCUACCCUGCCAGGCACCGGGACAGACAGCCCAAAGGGCGUUUCAAGGCCGCGAAUUGGAAGAGCACUUCCUGUCCGGGGAAGGAGUCUCUCCAACGGCAAGUUUGCUUUCUAAACGUUUUUUUCCUGCUUAAAAAUCUGCUUCAUUUUCUUAUUUUCUUCCACAUAACUCCAGCUGCCUUUUGGGGUUGAACGCCAGCCCUGCAAACUGGCCUGACGCCAGCCACCUGGUGGAGGCCAUUUGCAGCCAGCUUUGCCAGCUUCACCCCUCAGCCACGAGAAACAGGGGGGUUCUGAAGACCCGUUGGUCCCUGGUCUUGGGGGACUACGUGUCCAUCAGGGAGGCGGUUCUCGGGAGCCCCAGGCUGAUGACUCAGACCGGUCUUCAGUAGUUUCAGCUGAACCAGAGGACCCUGUCACAGUGGUUCUCCAGCAGGCAGAAAAAGUGGGAGAGGGCUGUGCUGGAGAAGGAAGUGGGACUCCUUCCUUCUGCUCCAGUGGUCUCCCUGCAGCCUCUCCCUGCAGCUAAAGGGCUGUCCUUGGUUCAGGUGGGACAGGGACAGCCCUUCGACUACGGGACGCCAGAGAAGAAGCUCUCUCUCCCAUUAUUGAGACCUGCCACUCAAACUCAGCCACUCCAGCUGGGCAGUGAGGCUACAGCACCAGCUCCAGCACCACCACCACCUGUACCUCCUCCACCACUGCCUCCAUCUCCUCCUGGUGAGCGUGUGCCCAGGACGACUGCCUUCAGGAGAAGGAAAGCAGCAGAAGCAACAGCUGCUGCACCAGAGGACCCUCCAGCAGGGACAAAAGUCCACUGGUAUAUUAUGCAGUACACCUGCACAAAGUGUGGCCAGCCAAAAAGGCUGGACACUGGCCACACCAGGAUUUUCGGUGUGUCAUACUGUGCAGCUGUCGGCAGAAAAGUGGGCAGGAAUGGACAGAGGAAUUGAGGAAAAAUCAGAAGAAAUAAAGACCACACAACGCCAGCCGCCUGGUGGAGGCCAUUUUCAGCCAGCUCUGCCGGCUUCAACCCUCAGCCACAAGAACCAGGGGGAGGGUUCUGAAGACCCGUUGUUAACUGGUCUUGGGGGACUACGUGACCAUCAGGGAGGCGGUCCUCAUGAGCCCCAGGCUGAUGACUCAGACCAGUCUUCAGUAGUUUCAGCUGAAUCAGAGGACCCUGUCACAGUGGUGAGAGCCUGAACUUCUGAAGUCUGAUGUCGCACCUGUUCA